CUAGACAGGUGGGCCUCGAUCCCACAAACCCCUAAUUAACAGUUAGGUGCCCAAACCAGCGAGCCUCUGUCUA
rnacentral:tRNA from 1 species